rnacentral:rRNA from 1 species
GACCUUGAAAUACCACCCUUUAAUGUUUGAUGUUCUAACGUGGACCCGUAAUCCGGGUUGCGGACAGUGUCUGGUGGGUAGUUUGACUGGGGCGGUCUCCUCCUAAAGAGUAACGGAGGAGCACGAAGGUUGGCUAAUCCUGGUCGGACAUCAGGAGGUUAGUGCAAUGGCAUAAGCCAGCUUGACUGCGAGCGUGACGGCGCGAGCAGGUGCGAAAGCAGGUCAUAGUGAUCCGGUGGUUCUGAAUGGAAGGGCCAUCGCUCAACGGAUAAAAGGUACUCCGGGGAUAACAGGCUGAUACCGCCCAAGAGUUCAUAUCGACGGCGGUGUUUGGCACCUCGAUGUCGGCUCAUCACAUCCUGGGGCUGAAGUAGGUCCCAAGGGUAUGGCUGUUCGCCAUUUAAAGUGGUACGCGAGCUGGGUUUAGAACGUCGUGAGACAGUUCGGUCCCUAUCUGCCGUGGGCGCUGGAGAACUGAGGGGGGCUGCUCCUAGUACGAGAGGACCGGAGUGGACGCAUCACUGGUGUUCGGGUUGUCAUGCCAAUGGCACUGCCCGGUAGCUAAAUGCGGAAGAGAUAAGUGCUGAAAGCAUCUAAGCACGAAACUUGCCCCGAGAUGAGUUCUCCCUGAGACUUUAGGUCUCCUGAAGGAACGUUGAAGACGACGACGUUGAUAGGCCGGGUGUGUAAGCGCAGCGAUGCGUUGAGCUAACCGGUACUAAUGAACCGUGAGGCUUAACCUUACAACGCCGAAG